GUGCCUAACACAUGCAAGUCGAGCGAGAAAAGGGGGGCAACUCCCUGAGUACAGCGGCGCACGGGUGAGUAACACGCGGGUAAUCUGCCCUGAAGUGGGGAAUAACACCGGGAAACCGGUGCUAAUACCGCAUACGAUCACGGAGUCUGCGGAUUUUGUGAUGAAAGGAGCAAUUCGCUUUAGGAGGAGCCCGCGGCUGAUUAGCUAGUUGGUGAGGUAAUGGCUCACCAAGGCUACGAUCAGUAUCCGGUCUGAGAGGACGGUCGGACACACUGGAACUGAGACACGGUCCAG
rnacentral:rRNA from 1 species